UUUAUAAAAUACAAAAACAUCCCAUUUCUUCAAAAAGUUUGCAAUUAGAGGUGUAACCUUGUGCAAAGUACCUAAUCUUUCUAUACCUCAGUUUCCCCUCCUGUGCAAUGAAGAUUAUAAUAGUACUUUCUUUAAGGGAGUUUUUGGGAGGAUUAAAUGUGCUUUUAAUUAGUACUCAAUAAAUGUUAGCUAAUAUUAUUAACAUUAUUAUUUGGAAAACACUGAACAAGAACAUCUCUUAGUCCCUCCCUGUGAUGACCUGGGUCCUGCAUUGUCUUCCUUGUGUCCUGUGUUUCUUUUUGCUUUAUGGCAUCAGACUCCUUGAUUCCCUUCUCAUGUUUCAUAUAUACUCAGUCCUUGGGCUCCUGCUUCCCCAUACCUUUGUGGGCUACUUCUCAUACACUGGGAUGGGGACCAAUGGGGCUUGGAUAUCGCAUGUGUGCCUUCUCUCAGCCUGUGCAGGUAGUUGAUUUUCCUUUCCUCCUCAACCCACAGUCUCAUCAGCUGGAACACUGUCCUCAGCCUUGGAAUAGUCAACUUGCUCACUGCUGUCACAUAUGGUGGUGACCCAUAGGGUCUGUCGUGUUGCUGCUACUGAUGAUGACGAUAAUGAUGAUGAUCUCUUUUGACUCAUUUUUCAGGUGAGAUUAACACUAUUGAAUACUUCCUCUGAGACAGACAUUGUGUUAGGCACUCAGCAGGCCUAUUCACAUUUUCUUCAAAAAAUUAGUGUGUCAAAAAAUAGGGGUGUCUGGGUGCCUCAGUUAAACAUCCAACUCUUGAUUUCAGCUCAGGUCAUAAUCUCAGGGUUGU
rnacentral:lncRNA from 1 species